UACGGAGGGUGCAAGCGUUACUCGGAAUCACUGGGCGUAAAGGACGCGUAGGCGGGUUGGUAAGUCAGGUGUGAAAUCCUACAGCUUAACUGUAGAACUGCACUUGAAACUACCAACCUAGAGUAUGGGAGGGGGAGAUGGAAUUAGUGGUGUAGGGGUAAAAUCCGUAGAUAUCACUAGGAAGACCGAAAGCGAAGGCGAUCUCCUGGAACAUAACUGACGCUAAGGCGUGAAAGCGUGGGGAGCAAACAGGAUUAGAAACCCCGGUAGUCC
rnacentral:rRNA from 1 species